GUAAGUUUUAAUGUUGAGCUAGA
rnacentral:miRNA from 1 species